AGCGAACGCUGGCGGCAGGCUUAACACAUGCAAGUCGAGCGGGCACUUUCGGGUGUCAGCGGCGGACGGGUGCGUAACGCGUGGGAACGUGCCCUCUGGUUCGGAAUAACUCAGGGGAACUUUGACUUAUAACGGGAUAGCCCCUUUUGGGGAAAGGCUUCAUUCGGGAGGUUCGGCCCGCGUCGGAUUAGCUGUUUGUUGGGGUAAGGGCACACCAAGGCGACGUUAAGUAGUGGGGCAGUGAGGAUGAUCAGCCACACUGGGACGGAGACACGGCCCAGACUCCUACGGGAGGGAGCAGUGGGGAAUAUUGGACAAUGGGCGCAAGCCUGAUCCAGCCAUGCCGCGUGAGUGAUGAAGGCCUUAGGGUUGUAAAGCUCUUUUAUCCGGGACGAUAAUGACGGUACCGGAGGAAUAAGCCCCGGCUAACUUCGUG
rnacentral:rRNA from 1 species